rnacentral:lncRNA from 1 species
GCCCUAUAAUAUUGGCUGAUAUAAAUUAUAAAAUUCAUGAUAUUAUUCAAUAUGAUAUAUUCGUAUCAUUCAAUAUUUUUCAAUCAUUUUUUAUUUUAAAAUUAUUUUUAGACAAUAAAUAUUGAAAUUAAUAUUUUAAUAUUGUUGGUAGCAUUGGAUUUAGCAUAUCAGAAAGGAUUUCAAUCUCCCGCCCCUAAAAUGUCAGCC